UUGCAAUGAUGAUAAAGAUCCAACUCUGAUUAUCUGUGAAGUCAGUUACAUUACGAGCUUUUUACACUGAGCAUU
rnacentral:snoRNA from 1 species